UAGUUAGUCCUAAAAACUGCCUCGUGUUUAUGCCCAGAAGUUGUUCGGUACAGGCAGCGUUCAGUUCAGGCUUCCUUCUGUUGGCUGCCUGGUGUGUUACAGCCAGGACUUCAAAAGACAAUUUGCAGGAGGGAAAACUGUUUUUAUUCCUGUGCUACUUCUGUCUUGG
rnacentral:sRNA from 7 species